AGGGAAAAAGGCUAUGACAACAGUAAAUUUUUUAAAAGGUUAAUUUCAUACAGGUCCCUAUAAAUAUAGUGAGUGACAAGUAUAUCCCUAUAAAGUUCAAUUUUCAUAUGUUCACUACAACAAAAACGGUCUAUAGCGACACUUUUAAAUGUAGGUACAUGUCAAAAAAGUGCUGCUAGCUAAAAUUACCGACACUUUUAAAAAGUGUUGCUAUAUGUGGGGUCGCUAGGUAUAUAGUGACAGUUAAAGAGUGUCGCUAUAGCCUAAAAGUGUGCUGCUAAUUUACCAACAACUUAUUUAAGCAUUUAGUAACCGCCGAAACUCUAUCUCGUUGGUUGCGGUGGCGGAGGAGGACGACAGGAAUGGCUCUUCGUCUAGAAUUUCACUGGAUUGAGUGAAGAGAGAAGAAAAUAUGGUAAUUGAUUUUUCUUUUUUUUUUUCUUUUCUGUUUGUAAUCGGACCAAAUGGAUUGGGUGUGGUGGGUUGAGUAGAGUAAUCUUUUAUUUUUGGUUGGAUUGGGGUUUAUAUUUAGGCAUUAGUAGAUAUUUUUUUAAGUUUGAGCAUAAAUGGGACACUUACUCAAAAGUGUCCCAAACAUGUGUCCCUAUAACCUAAUUCUGUUGUAGUGGUUGUCUCUGUAAAAGUCCUGAUAUUUUCAAAUAUAUUUUUUUGAUUUGUUACCGUUAGAGAACUAUUAGAAACUGUUUAUUUUUUCAAUUUUGCCAUCACGCAUGUCCCUUCAAAAAUCAUAACAGUAUAAUAUAAAAUGAGUAAAAAUAUCAAAAACUAAUCAAAAUUAAGUAUUUAACCUAUUAUUAACUAAAUUUUUCUAAUGGAUUCUAACGGCAGGGAUAUAUUUGAAAAUAUCAGGAUUUUUACAGAGACAAUAUAUGAAAGUUGAAUUUUGUAGUUAUAUAUUUGUCAUUCACUAUGUUUGCAGGAGCAUGCAUGAAAUUAGCCCUUGUUUAAAAAUGGUGGUCCAUAUGGAC
rnacentral:lncRNA from 1 species